rnacentral:lncRNA from 1 species
UCUUUUCUUUCCGCCCUUUACUACAGAUGAUCUUACUUAGUUAAUACUGUAAGUCUCACUCCCGACGUUUCGAAACAACAGUCUGCCGGUUCGAUUCUUCCAAACCAGCAACAUACAGGCAUACCAACCCUCCCCAGAAAACCUGAUCGAAUACGUCCAAAGCUAUCGGACCCUUAUGCACCGAUAGUUUUGUGAGCAACUGUACAUUAUAAUCCAAGUAACAGUAAUACUCCUCACAGUGAAAAAUACCACCACCCAUCCUUUGAAAGUUUAUGUAACUUGAUUCAGUUGGAGGCAAAGAAAGCAAGCAAUCCUUUUGUUUCUGACAGUCCAUUAAGUGCUGAAGAAUGUAGUCAGAGCAGAAGUGGAACAAAGGUAUUCAGAUGGAAACCAAGGGAUUCAAACACUACAACAAAGUAUAAGGGGAGUAAAACUUUCAUGGCUAAAGCAAAUUAAGAAAAACCUGUGUGUUCCUUUCAGAGUAAAGUAGAUGUGCAAGCCAACAAACAAUCUCCCAAGGAGCAGGAAGGAAAAAGACAGAUCUGUCACUAUUAUACAACGGACCAUGACUUAGAUGAUUGCAAGGAGUUUGCUAAUACCAGAUACACUUUUGCCAGGGAACAGAAGUUGUGUACAGGAUGUCUAAAGCUGGGUCAUAAAAAGAUGUAUUGUAGGAGAAAGAAAACAUGUAAAGUGUGUCAGAGAUACCAUCCCAUAGCUCUCCAUAAUGACAUGGUAAAAUGUUAGAGCCAAGAGGUGGUGGAACAAAUUACUCAGCCCGAAGGUGAUAAAACAUCCAUAGCUGUUGUAACAAAUAAGGUUAAAGUGACUGAGUCAGUAACACAUGACAUGCACAGCAUGAUAGUCCUUGUGUGGCUCCAUCAUGUCAGUAAUGAAGAACACAAAGUCUUAGUGUAUGCUUUGUUAGAUGAGCAGUCAAAUGCUUCAUUCAUUAAGGAAGGCACCUUAAUUGAAUUGGGUGUUAAAGGGCCAACAGUGUCACUUGACGUCCAUACAAUUAAUGGUAGACAAAUGACUGAUUCCAUCAAGGUUCAAGGACUUAGAAUAAAAGGUUAUAAUUGGUUCAAAGCAAAGAGGGCAGUUGCUGUAUGCCUUAAGCUCCUAAAGAAUUUUAAAAGGAAAAGUAACGGCAGUGAUAAAGUUAAAGAAGAGAAAUAUGUGCCAGUAAAUGUAGCAGAAAUUGAAGAAGCAGAAAGGGAAAAUAAUAAAGCAACUGCAAGUGAAGGCUUUCCCAGCUGAAAUAAAUGUACUGAAAUCAACUGCAAAGUAUAAGUCACUAGUUAAAGGGAACAAUGGUAAAAGAAUAAAGGUGAUAGACAAGACCAGUUCUCUAUACAAGCUAGAUUCUUUCAUUGAUGAGUAUGGUGUCUUGAGAGUAGGAUUUAGGCUUGCCAAUUUAGAAAGUGCAUCUAAACAUCCAGUGAUCCUCCCCAAAGUUUCCCACAUAACCGAUCUGAUAAUAUGCCAUCACCAUAAAAAGGACAAAUCAUCAAGGCAGGGGCAUAACUUUAAAUGAAAUUAGAUCAUGUGGAUACUGGAUAAUUGGAGGAUCAUCCCUUGUGUCCAAGCAUAUUGCAAAGUGUGUUACUUGUCAUAAAGUCAGAGGCUCAACACAAGGACAGAAGAUGGCAGACCUGCCCAUUGACAGACUAGAACCAUCACCUCCAUUUACAUACUCUGCAGUGGAUUUCUUUGGCCCAUUCUAUAUAAAAGAAGGCCGUAAAGAACUUAAAAGGUAUGGAGUGCUCUUCACUUGUAUGGCAUGUAGGGCAUUGCAUAUUGAGACAGCCAAACAGCAUGGAUACAAGUUCCUUCCUCAGUGCAUAUCGUCGCUUUGUAGGAUGAAGAGGGCCUGUUAGACAAUUGAGAUGUGACCAAGGAACUAACUUUGUAGGGGCUAAAUCAGAAUAUACAAAGAACAGGCAGAAAAUGAAUAAUGAUAAAAUUAAACAAGAACUUAUGAAAGACCAGUGUGAUUGGGUUGUAUGUAAGAUGAAUGUACCCAAUGCCAGUCACAUGGGAGGUAUUUGGGAGAGGCAGAUAUGCACAGUGAGAAAUGUCUUCACAGUGUUACUUGAUCAUCAGCAUGGUGCACAGUUAGAUGACCAAGAUCUGAGAACCUUCUUAGUGGAAGCUGAGAACAUAGUUAAUGGUCAUCCUCUAACUGUGAAUAAUUUAUUUUCCCCAGACAAUCCUACACCACUAACACCAAAUAACUUGCUAACCAUGAAGACAAAGGUGUUACUGCCUUCCCCAAGCAUAUUUGUUAAGGAAGAUUUAUAUUGUACAAAGAGGUGGCGCAGAGCACAGUACCUGGCCAAUCAGUUCUGGUCCAGGUGGAAAAGAGAAUAUGUGCAAUCUCUACAACUUAGAAAUAAGUGGACAACACCAAGAAGAAGCCUCAGUGUAGAUGAUAUAGUUAUUAUAAAGGACCAGAAUGUAGCAGUGGAAACUAGGUAGAAUAACAGAAGCUCAUGUUGAUGCCGAUGGGCUUGUAAGAAAGGUUACGGUGCUAGUGUCAGAUUGCAAUAUUGACAACCAGGGGAAACGUACAAAGGCCAACAGGACCAUCAUAGAGAGCCCAGUACAUAGUCUGAUAGUGUUGCUAGAGAGUAAUAUGUAAUGUAGACUGGAGCGUCCCCGCCAAGGAGCCAUUGCAACAAAAUCUACUGUGCCAAUACUAAUUCUAAGGCAAAUGUUAUUGUUAAAUCUAAAGUAAAUUGUUAAACAAUUUAGGGGAGCCAUGUUACUGUACGUAAGAGUUUGUAAGAGUUUACUUAUGUUAUGGUAUAGCUAGUCCUCUGUCAUCAUAAGAAGUGUUUAAUAUUUUUCUAUGUGCAUGAAAACACAUGUAGCAUAUACUUAAAUAACAGUAUUUGAUGCCACAUAAAGGUUCGCCUCUGCAUGAUUUUAUUUUGCAUGAUUUUAUUUGGGUGUUUGCCUACCCUAUAGCCUCAGGGUUAGCCUCAGGGCAUCACGAGUCUUCACUCAUGAGAGAGAGGGCACGAGAUUGAGACGUGUGCAGGGAGACGAUAAGGUAAACAUUGUAUUCUUUGUAGUAUUAACCUAAUGUCAUAGUGCCAAAUUGAUUAUAUGUGGAGUUUAUAACUAGUAUAAUGUAUUGAAAGUGUUUGUACAAGUGAAUAAUAUUACUGAUAAGAACUACUAAUAUAGGGAAACUUUGUCCAAACAGUUUUUACGGUCAAGCCUACCAAAAUAAAUUGUCAGAGGAAAUACUGCUUUCCCUCGACCCUACAACGAUGGCUUUGAUCAGUAAAAACACGUCAGUCGUGAGUCACUAGAGAUCCUGCUAGAGCGCCUACAACCACAAAUAGAAACAAACGUGCUGCAGCAAUAAGGGAUAUAGCACAGACAAUAAGCCUUCAUGUAAUCAUCCUUCAGAGCUUCAUAUAUAGCAUCACAGGCUUCUGGUAUGAUGAUGGACAGACUCUGCUUGGAUAUCCUCGUACUGUAUUGGAUGGAUGUGUAGCAACAUCCAGUAGCCAGGAUUGAUGCUGGAGUGGAGAACUGUUGACUAAAGCAAGAAAGAUUGCGCCAUUGUUGAUUCGUGCUGUCAUCCAUCAACCCCAUGAAGCCUGUAGAGCCAAGAGGAACAAAGUGAUCAGUGCCAAGGAGUGACAGCAAGCUAGCAGGAAUUGAAGCCUUAAAAGGAGCUGCAGGAGAGAUGAAGUGGAUGAUAGAUAAAUUUUAGUGCCUGUCAACCCUGUAUGGUCCUGGCAGAAUUGGCCUUGCAUCAUCACAAGAGUUAAAGAGAUGAGUGGAGGAUGAACUCUGCUGCCUGUCAACCCUGUAUCCUGAGUGAAUUGGCUCCCCCUUUUUCAUCCUUGACUGUCUAAAAAUACAAGUGAAAUUUGACAGAAGAUGGAGCUGUGAAAGAGAUGAACCACAUGUUAGCCUAGCAAUGAGUGGUUGGUGGUCAAGAAAUUGAUUGUUGUGAGGCUGGGAACACUUUGACUACAAAAACUAACCUUUUUCCUCCAUGGAAAGACAUGUAUGAACUUCAAAAAAUAAAUCUCAAUGUACCCUACCCUAUCUAUAGUUAUCUCUAGCUUUUGUACAUAUAGCCAAAAACUAAUAAAGGUAAAGUGAUUUACAA